UUUUUUUUUUACUUGUGGUUUUUGUGAAUAAUGCUGCUAUGAAAUUUAGUGUACAAAUAUCUUUUUGAAUCACUGCUCUCAAUUCUUUGGGGUAUAUAGCCAAUAGUUGAGUUGCUGUAUCAUAUGCCAAUUCUAUUUUUAAUUCUUUAGAGAAACUAUCAUAUUAUUUUCCACAGUGGCUACAUCAUUUUCUAUUUCUGCCAGCAAUGCACAAAAGGUCCCAGUUUCUCUACAAUUUUACCAACAUGUUAUUUUCUGCUUAAUGAAUGUGAAGAGGUAUCUCACUGUGGUUUUGAUUUGCAUUUCUUUAAUGAGUAGUGAUGUUGAACAUCUUUUCAUGUGCUUAUUGACCAUCCACAUAUCUUCUUUGGAGAAAUGUUUAUUUAAGUCACUCGCUCAUUUUAAAAUUAGGUUAUUUGCCUUUUUAAUGGUGAAUCAUAAAAGUUCUUUGCACUUAAGGAGUGAUCAACAGGUUUUGCGUCUUAGUUAAGGCUGUGGAAUAAUGUUUUUUGAAUGAAUGAAUGAAUGUGUUUGUUUUAUAUCUUAGCUUGAAUGGAAGAGAGGAAAUAAAUCACUUGUUUCACUUUAAAGCAGAUGAAAAGAAGCUGGACAGAUUUGGUGGGAGUCUGAAUAUAAUCACUUCAUUUUCUAAUGAGUUUUGCUGAUUAUCUCCAUCAUAUUUCAACUCCCAAAUUCUGUCCAUAUGUCUCAUUGAUCAUGCCAUUACCUAUUGGCCUGUGUGUAUAAUACUUGAUUCAAGAUAGUAAAUGUAUGCUUGUGAUAUUUCCCAUGUAAGAAAUUGAUUGUUUAGGACACUGUCAAUUCCCUCUCUUGGGGUAAUGUAGCUUGAAUAUCAUUUCAUCAGAUCUUCAUCUUGUGACUGCACAAAAGACAUUUAACAAAUCCCAUCUUUUCCUAAAACAAUUCAAAUGUAUUUAUUAUUUUCCUCCAUCAAAACAACCACAUGUAUUACUCUGACAUCACCAUAUCUCAUUCAUAAUCAAAUACACAGAGGGGCCUCCUACAAAAUACAGAUCUGAUUGCAUUAAUAGAGCACUCUCCCCUAUUAGUACAACCAGCAGGUGUUGAGACAGGCAGCUUGCACUGGAGACCUACAUGAUAUGAGAGUCAGGCAUCUCUCAUCUUAACUCCUUUCUCUUCCACUCACUGCAUGCUUCCCAGUCAGGUGAUUUAACCUUAGUAAGCCUCAAUUUCCAUUCCUACAAAAUGUAGAUUUUGAUAUUUACUUCAUAAUAUUUUUCAAGGAGUUAGUGAUAGAUUGGCCAACAUGGCCAACAAUAGGGUCUGGCACAGAGUAUACCAGAAAAGUUACCUAGUAUCUCUGAAACAUUUAAGAGUCAAACAUCUCCUGGUGCCAGAGAAAACAAUGCAGACCAGCCCAUGCCAAUAGAGCAAUACUAGAGAACUUGACAGAAAAUAUUCUGUGCUCUUUGUGAUUAGUAACAGUAACCCAAGGCAAAAAGUAAGAGCCCCAGUACAGAUAAAACAUUUCCAGCCUUUGGGCUGGAAAUCUUUGAGAUGCAAAUGAAGAAGUCCUGGAUAUAAUUCCUACAGCCUCACUGGUUAAAGGUUAUCAUUGGGAUGACGAUACUUCCUAAUUUGCCCAGGAAACCCCGGUUUACACCUACCCACUCUGAGUGAAAUUCUCAUAGCAACACUUUCCAUUCUCAUGAAUGUCCUGGCUAUCUCAAGAAAAUAGAAAAAGAAGACCAAAAUAAAGACAAAGUAAGCAAAGGCAUGGAAAUAGUAACAAUAAGAACAGUAUCAAUGUAAUUGAAAAUAGAGAAAUAUCAGUAAAACCAAAAGAUUUUUCUUUGAGAAAAAAUAAAUAAGUUGAUAAAUUUUAGCAAGACCGAAAGAGAGAAGACACAAAUUACUAACAUCAGGAAAGAAAUAGGGGAUACAGUACAGAUCCUGCAGGUACUAUGAACAAAUUUAUGCUCAUAAAUUCAACAACUUAAUUGACUAAUUUUUCAAGACACAAAUUAUCAAAAACUCAACCAAAUUAAAUUGAAAUAGAUAACCUUUCCAUAAUGGCUCUAUGAUAAUAAAGGAAUGCAUUAUUAAAAAGCAUUCCCCACCAAAAAUAAAACAAACAAAAAAAAUCUCCAAAUCCAAACAGAGUCACUGCAAAUUUAUACCAAGUAUUUAAAAAAGAAUUAAUACCAAUUUUAUUCAAUCUCUU
rnacentral:lncRNA from 1 species